rnacentral:lncRNA from 1 species
AGAGUUGAUUCGUCGAAGUUUGGUGCAAGUAUCCUCAGUUAGAAUUGAUGGAAAGCCUAAAAGUUGUUGUGUUCAUGAUCUGAUACGUAUGAUGAUCCUUGAAAAGUGUGAGGAUUUAAGUUUUUGCAAGCAUUUCAAUGAAGAUGGUCAUUCAUCUUUAAGUGGAACUAUUAGACGCCUAUCAAUAGCAACCAGUGACUUAAAUGCAUGUAAUGAAAACUCACAUAUUCGGUCACUAUUUCUUUUCACAGAUAAAUCAAAUAAUGCAAAGGAAUCCAGCGUGAAUAGAAUCUUGAAAAAGUACAGGACACUGAAGGUGCUUGAUUUUCAAGAUGCCAGAUUUUUUAGGGAUCUUAAACAUUUUAGAAGUCUGAUCCACUUGAAAUAUUUAAGCUUCAAGAAUUUAUACAUACAACAUAGCCAACAUGGAUUUCCCAAAUGGAUUGGUAUUCUCCUAAAUCUGGAGACCUUGGAUCUAAGGGCUUCUCCUAAAUCUUCUGAUUGUUUCAAUUGAAGGAUGUUAUAGGAGGCAUGGAAUCUCUACAAACAUUGAGUGGAGUGAAAAUUGGUAAGGGUGGAAUAGAGUUAAUUAAAGAGUUGGGAAAGCUAAGACAGUUAAGGAAGUUGACCUUGUUUUAUGCGAGGGCAGAACAUUUUAGCGCUUUAUCUUCCUCAUUGAAUGAGAUGCGACACUUAGAAAAAUUAUGCAUUGUGUCAGGAUGGGAAGAUGGUUCUUAUUAUGAUGUCAUUGAUUUACAUUUGGUUUCGCCUCCACCUAUGCUUCGAAUUCUUAAACUUGGUGGCAGGUUGGAGAAGAUUCCAGAGUGGAUUCCUCAACUUAAAAAUCUUGUUAAGUUGAGAUGCGACACUUGGAGAAAUUAUGCAUUGUGGGAGAUCAUUUUGUUUAUGCUGUCAUUGAUUUACAUUUGGUUUCGCCUCCACUACAUAUGCUUCGAAGUUUUAAACUAUAUGGAAAGUUGGAGAAGUUUUCCUCAACUUAAAAAUCUUGUUAAGUUUGAUUUAGCAAAUUCCUUCUUAACUGAUGAUCCAAUUGUAUUUAUAAAACAUGCCAAACUUGUUGUCCCUCUCAAUCAUCUCCAAUGCUUAUGAAGGCGAAAGUUUACAUUUUCAUGAUGGAGGUUGUCAAAAUCUAAAGGAACUGUACAUUGGAGACUUGCGCAACAUGAAUUCAAUUGUUAUCGAUAAAGGAGCAUUGCAUUCUCUAAAAAAGUUUGAGUUAUUCGGAAUGCCCAACCUCGUUCCUUCUGGGAUCCAACACUUAGAGAAGCUUGAAGUUCUCAAUUUUUGGGCUGUUCCCCUUGCAGAAUUUAAUCUUAGUCAGCCAAAUCAAUUCAAAACUUUAAGGAUUAAUGAGAUAGAAAUCACACGCCACCCAUUUUUUAGAAAAGGUGAACAUUUUCUUCCAUAUAAUUGUAAAAAUGUAUUGGCAAUAUUUCUGGUUCUGUCAUCAAAGUAAAACUUUUUUUAUUAUUCCUAAAUUAUUUUAUUUAUUUUGCCUCACUUUACAUUUCUUCUGGCAUAUGCUUUGUAUUUUUUGCUAUUCUACAUCAAUAAUUAUAAGGUUUUUAUUGUGUUGUGCCCUCAAGAGGUUUUUGGUUGGAAUCCUUACAUUCUGAGCAGUCUAAUCUCCACAAUAGUAAUAAUUUGUUGUUAAUCUGUAGGUUUCUGGUUUCAUGGGUGAUGGAAUUUGAUUACUCCAAGUGGACUUUUGAAAAAGUGGCAUCUUUAUGUUCUUGAUUUGGCAUAUGAAACAUCAGUUAUUGAUUCAGGAUACUUUGUAAUUUUCUAUUUGAGUGAGUUAUUUGUGAUGUAUUGUAUUGUAUGCAACAUGUUGUGAGAGUUUUCCUUUCAAGGAUUAUAAGACCUUAAUUCUCUGUUGAUCUCCCUUCUAUCUACCUGGUUUAUUGAGUUGAUGGCGUCAUUUUCGUAUCAACGCUCUGUACUAUGCUACACUUUUACACUUAGGUACAGUACUGAAGAAAAAAAACAUUAACAAGCUGAUAUGUUAUGUGAUUCUUGCAUAUAUACUGAAAGUACGUUUGAAUGGAUUUUUUUUGUGUUACAGACUUUUUGUGUUUUGUACUCAUUCUCAAAGUUUGACUAUAUGGUCUUUCUUCACUUUGCUAGACAGAAAAUUGAAUUUGAAUGAAUUUGUACGAAAUUCUAUUGUGUUUCAUCUAGAAAAAAAAAAUUAUUGCCAAUCAUGGUUUGAAAAAUCUGGAUAUGGGUUCUCUGUUUUUCUUGUUCAUUCAUUGAUGAAUUUUACAUGUCCAAUUAUGGAUGUUUGUUGUUUUAAUUGUGGUAUUUGGUCAAAUUGAACGCCAAAACAAAAAUACAACGAGGAGUUUCCUGAAUCCAUACACAAGUGCUUUUAUGGUGUUGAGAGAAUGAUUCAGUAAAUAAAUUUAAAAAGACCAUCACCCUAUCAAAGUGCAGCCCAACCUUCAUUGCCAUAGCCUCUGCCGUUUACAGGAGUUCGCCUCAACAACUACUCCGCCAGCAUCACAAAUUAAUGCAGACAGUCCCCAACUCCCAUCCCCAGCUGGGCCUGGAGCAUCAAUAUUCAGUUUAAACCAGCUUGGUGAUGGUGGAGUCGAACGCACAUUAGAAGUUAGGAUAGGAACUGGAAUGCCUACAAUUUGGCUCUGCAGAAUCUGAGCACUUAAAUUGCCUUCAGUUUGCAAUGGAAUUAUGUGCUCAGAACACCAUAUCAGCCGCACCAGGAAUAUCAUAUCCUUCAAAGCAUCUCUUGUUCCUAUUAUAGGACUGAUUUAGUCACAUGCUCCGGUUCAUUGACAAUCCACUUGUUCAAAGAGAAAACAUUAAGAGAAGAAGCAAACCACACCCUUCACAUCCAGUUACAAUCCAUAAAAUCAACCGCAAGCCUAAUCAAUCGUACAUGACACGCCAUAUAAGCUGAACAUGACGUGAUAUUGGUCUUGAGAUUCCAAAGUUUGGAUCAUAUAUUCUAUUUAAUAACUAUGAGUUACACAUAGUUUUUGUCCUUGUAAAAUCAGCAUGAGUUUUAAUCUAUGAUCCUAGCUCUUUAGCUUCCACUUUGUAGUAUUUCUCUGCUGCGGGUUUUAAUCUAUGAUCCUAGCUCUUUAACUAUGAGUUACACAUAGUUUUUGUCCUUGUAAAAUCAGCAUGAGAUUUAAGUCUCUGCUGAAGGUUUUAAUCUAUGAUUUUGUUUUAUUGUACUAGUGAGUUGACGGUAUCAUUUUCGUAUCAAUGCUUUGUACUAUGCUACACUUUUACAGGUUUAGACACAACCAGAAUUUGCAUUAUAUAUUUCUAUUUUAUUCGGUGACAAGCUGAUAUGUUAUCCCAUUCUUGCAUAGAUACUGAAAUUACGGUAGCUUCAACAGGAAAAAUAGCGCAAACAUAAGCCUCCUUCAAUGGUAAUGCAUGAGAGGGUAAGCAAAAUAUUGUAACGGCUUGGUGGUUACCGGCAACAUGCAAUUAGUUAUAGAAGUCCAUUUGUUUAAUGACUACCUAUUAUAUGUGACCAUCAUCAAAUAUAUCAUUAAAUUCAAAUAUGAACCUUAAAAAAGAGUUUUAACUUACGUUAUCCUUCUGCCAGUACAAAGCUUAAGUUAUUCUAAUAAUCAUUCAAGAAAAUUUGUAAAACUGUUGUUCACGUAAGAGUCUAUUUUGUCCUUGUUAACAAUUGUCUGAUUAGAAUUCUUUAGGAUUUUCUUUUUCUUUUUUGUAAACAGGUCCAGGGCCUUAAUCCUAGUUUGCAAUUUAUUUUUAUUGCUUUAAUAAAAAAUAAAAAUAAAAAGUAAAAAUAACACAAAUUUUAGGAAAUGAAAAUAGAAAAUGUUAGGUCUAACUUUUUUAAAAAUUUAAAGUUCUAAAUGUGAUAGUGUAGAUUUUAAAAAUAAAAAUAAAAAAAGGAGUAAUAUUAUGAGUUUAAGCAUGCAAGAAAAAUUGAUCCAUUUAACUUUUUGAAGUGCAUCCACAAUUUCUACUCCAAAAUUCCUGAGCAAACAUUAAGAUCAAUCCUUCUUUUUUUUUCGAAACAUCAUUAAGAUCAAUCCUGGAUAAUAUUUUAAUAUAUAUACAAUUAUUACUUUAUAAUAUUUAAUAACAAUUCUUCAAAAAAAAAAAUUUCAAUAUUUUUAUCAUUAACGUCAUCUUUAUCAUUAAUUUUUUCUCAUUUAUAAACGCAAAUGUGUUUCGAUGCUCAACUGGUGCUCCGCACCGAUCAUGUAUUUAACACGAGUUUGUUCCUAGUAAUUUUAAAAAACAUGCUAGUUUAAAAAAAAUCUCAACAAGUUUGCCAAUCCAUUAUAGUUCAUACUUGUCCUAUCCUUAUCCAAUUAGAGCUCACAAGGUUGCAAAUCCAUUACCACUCAUACUUGUCUUAUCCUUAUCCAAUUUCAGUUCACAAAAGUCCUAGAAUCCAUUACCACCACUCAAAAUAUCGCUCGAUGUCACAUGAUAAACAAGUAUUUUUUUUCUUAACUAAAUGAGAAUGAAAUGGUUUUGAGUGUCUUAUCUAAGCAUUGAUGUGUUUUACACUGUGAUAAAUGUAAAGUAAAAUAUAUUGAAUUGAGUGAUAAAAAAAAUAUUAAUUAUAGUUAUAUUGAAAAUUAGCUAAUGUUUGAUUGAAAAGUCAGAAUGGAUUAAUUAUUUUAAAACAAUUUUUUUUUUCUUUUCAAAUUACUCAUUAAAUAAAAGCUUAAUUAUACUUUUGGACCCCUAUCUUUUCAAAAGUUGCGGUUAUGAACCCCUAACUAAUUUAAAUACAAAACAGCCCCCUAAGUUUUGAUUCUUUGGCAGUUUUGGACCCUCAGUCCAUUGUUGACUCGGUCAACGCUGACGUGACACCCUAAGUGAGGUGCCACGUGUCAAUUUUUUUUUUUUUGUCUUGGGGGUUCAAAACUGCCAAAGAAUCAAAAUAUAGGGGGCUGUUUUGUAUUUAAAUUAGUUAGGGGUCCAUAACCGCAACUUUUAGAAAGAUAGGGGUCCAAAAGUGCAAUUAAGUCUAUUUUAAAAAAACUAAUGGAACUACUUCCAUUAACUACAUAGAUUGCAACGGACCAGGAUCUGCUGCUCUAGUAAAACACACAGUUUCACAAAGUUUUGAAUUGUGACCAUUGGAUCUUUAUUGGCAUGGGACUAUUAUAGUAUUAUCAAACCAUCCAAUGGCUGAAUUGAAACUGUGUUGUACUUUACAGCACCAAAUCCAUAUCCAGAUUGCACCAAACAAGUCUCAAUUACGAGUAAAUUGUAGUCUUCGUCUCAUAGAAUAACAAAAAAUCUUACAAUGGCAGAAAUGGCAGUGUCUUUUGCUAUUAAGCAACUGCUUCCAUUGUUAACGGAAGAAACCAAACUACUGAAAGGUGUUCACAAAGAAUUUGCAGACAUUAAAUAUGAACUGGAAAGCAUCCAAACCUUCCUUGAAGAUGCUGAUAGAAGAGCUGCAGCUGAAGGAGACAACACUACUGAAGGAGCCAAAAUGUGGGUGAAGCAGGUUAGGGAAGUGGCUUUUCGUAUAGAAGAUGUCAUUGAUGAUUAUAUGAUCCAUGUAGGGCAGCAACCUUGUGAUCCUGGAUGCAUAUCUCCACUCCAUAAGGUUGCUCGUUUUCCCAAAACUAUGACUCCUCGCCGUCAAAUAGCUUCUGAGAUUCAAGACAUCAAGUCAGUUGUUUGUGGAAUCAAAGAAAGAAGUGAAAGAUAUGGUUUCCAAAUCCAAGGAUCUAGCAGCUUUAGAGGAAACCAAAACGCCAAAUGGAACGAUCAACGAAUGGCUGCUUUAUACAUCGAUGAAGCUGAAGUCGUAGGCUUUCAAGAACCCAAAAAUAGAUUGAUUGAUUGGCUGGUAAAGGGAAGAGUAGAGCGCACUGUCAUCUCUGUAGUUGGGAUGGGAGGGCAAGGAAAAACCACUCUUGCUAAAAAGGUUUUUGAUAGCAAAGAGGUUGUGGGACACUUUGAAUGUCGUGUAUGGAUCACAGUGUCACAAUCAAACAACACUGAAGUAUUGUCGAGACACAUGUUGGAGAAGCUUUACGGACAAAAAGGAGAAAAACCUCCUAAAGGAAUCACUGAAAUGGAUCGAGGUGCAUUGAUUUCUGAGUUGAGAAAGUACUUGCAGAAAAAGAGGUAUGUUUUUGUGUUUGAUGAUGUAUGGAACACAAGUUUUUGGGAUGAGAUUGAAUAUGUUGUGAGUGAUAAUAAAAAUGGUAGUAAGAUAUUUAUUACCACAAGAAAUAAGGAUGUUGCCAUGUAUUGUAAGAAAUCUUCAUUUAUUGAAGUGCAUGAACUACAACCAUUAACUGAAGAACAAUCAAUUGAUUUGUUCAAUAAGAAGGCAUUUCAAUUUGACUUGGAAGGAUGUUGUCCAAAAGAGCUCAUUGAUAUAGCUUUUGAAAUUGCUAGGAAGUGCAAGGGCUUACCACUAGCAAUUGUGACUAUUGGUGGUCUUUUAUCUACAAAGGGGAGAAAUGCAUUUGAAUGGCAGAGAUUUAGUGAAAAUAUGACUGUAGAGCUAAGGAAUGAUUCCCAUUUGACCAGAAUAAAAAAGAUUUUAGGUCUUAGCUAUGAUGAUUUGCCUUUUUAUCUUAAAUCAUGUUUGUUAUAUUUUGGAAUGUAUCCAGAAGAUUAUGAAGUUAAAUCAAAGAGAAUGAUACAACAAUGGAUAGCUGAAGGGUUUGUGAAAGAGGAAAGUGGGAAGACUUUGGAAGAAGUUGAAGAAAGAUAUUUAACAGAGUUGAUUCGUAGAAGUUUGGUGCAAGUAUCCUCAGUUAGCAUUGAUGGAAAAACUAGAAGUUGUUGUGUUCAUGAUCUGAUACAUAUGAUGAUCCUUGAAAAGUGUGAGGAUUUAAGUUUUUGCAAGCAUUUCAAUGAUGACGAUCAUUCAUCUUUAAGUGGAACUAUCAGACGCCUAUCAAUAGCAACAAACUCCGGUGAUUUCAGAGCAUGUAUUGAAAACUCACAUAUUCGGUCACUAUUUCUUUUCACAGAUAAAUCAAAUUAUUUAGAGGAAUCCAUCCUGAAA